UACGUAGGGUGCAAGCGUUAAUCGGAAUUACUGGGCGUAAAGCGAACGCAGGCGGACCUUUAAGUAGGAAGUGAAAGGUUGGAGCUCAACUCUAACACUGCUCCCUAUACUGGAGGUCUUGAGUGCCGGAGAGGAAGACGGAACAAGUUGUGUAGCGGUGAAAUGCGUUGAUAUAACUUGGAACACCAAUGGCGAAAGCAGUCUUCUGGACGGAUACUGACGCUCAGGUUCGAAAGCCAAGGUAGCAAACAGG
rnacentral:rRNA from 1 species